CAGCUGGCUGCAGCAUCCUUGACUUUGUCCUUCCCUCAUGAACUUGCUCCUUCUCUGCACCCUGAAGCCAGGGCUCUGAUCUUCAGUCCUUCCACUUGCACUGUGUGCUGCCUCCUUCUCCCUCACCAAUGAGAUUUCCUUGCUCCCUAUCAGCAGCCACUUCCCCCAGAAUCCUCCUGCUUUGCAUUGCCAAAGCAUGACAUGAAAAUUGAUCUGGAGACCAAUUCUGGAGCAGCUCCAAUGGUGAUGCAAGUUUAAUAGCCCUGUGAUUGGUGAGAGCUGUGGGAGACGUCCUGAGGAGCAUUUUCUUCUGUCCUUUAGAGCUCUGAGCACCAUUUUUCCAGCUGGAUGCACCAUUACCUGGCAGUACAACUCCUAUUCCAGUCCAGUUUCACAAGGCCCUGAUGUGGACUGUCAGGAAGCAAGAUGAGGCUCAGCAGCAGCCUGGGCUCAGCUUGCUUUGAUGCUUCCCACAAGGAAAAUGCAAGAAGCAGAAGAAAACUGGAAGAAGCAACCCUCAGAUCUUACCUUUUGGAUCCCAAGAGCUACAGCCAAGCUGUUGUUUCAAUGCCUACAGUGACACACAGUGGUGACGAGCUUCUGCUGUGCCAAGGCACUCGCCUUGACACAGUGCAAGUGACAGGCAGAGGACAUUGUCGCUGGUGGCAAUGGUGACCACCAAGCUCCCCAUACAAGAGCUGGAUCCACUUGCUGACGUGCUUUGGACUUGCAGGAUGCUCAUCAGAGGGCUGUGGAGCCCUCUUGGCUCCUCCAUCCCAUGUGUUGCCCGUUUACUACUGAGUUUUCCCCCAGCCAGCAGAGAGCUGUGGGCUUCCUAAGCUGAUUUGUACCAUAAAUGUCACACUCAAAUCCUCUUUA